GUGUCUGUAGUUCUCUGAUACUGUCCUUCCAUUUUGAAUGUUUUAAUGCUAAAGAAGUGCCCCCAGCAGCCCUUCCCUGUGCUGCAUAGAAUAAUGAGGAAACCUUAGCCUGAGCAUCAAUUGGUGGCUGUGGUUGGUUGAAAGUGUCAGGUGACUGGUUUCAACCUAUAAAUUAAGAAAGUGGAGCGCUGAAUAAAUAGAUAUGAUUUAGAGGAGGGUAUAAAAUAGGAAACCUAACGACCUAUUAAGAUAAGAUAUGCACAAAUAGAAAAACUAUACCCUUAAACCUCUGAUAGCAUUAUCAUUGCUGUAAUCAUAUGAAAUAAAACUGUCAAACAAUAAUGCCUUGUAAUAACAAUAAACAGAAAUCUCAU